rnacentral:rRNA from 1 species
CAGUAGCCGCGGUAAUACGAGGGGGGCAAGCGUUGUUCGGAAUUAUUGGGCGUAAAGGGCGCGUAGGCGGUUUGGCAAGUUUGGUGUGAAAUCUUCGGGCUCAACUCGAAGUCUGCAUCGAAAACUGCCGGGCUUGAGUAUGGGAGAGGUGAGUGGAAUUUCCGGUGUAGCGGUGAAAUGCGUAGAUAUCGGAAGGAACACCUGUGGCGAAAGCGGCUCACUGGACCAUUACUGACGCUGAGGCGCGAAAGCUAGGGGAGCGAACAGGAUUAGAUACCCCAGUAGUCCCUGUCUCUUAUAC